rnacentral:rRNA from 1 species
UACGUAGGUGGCAAGCGUUGUCCGGAAUUAUUGGGCGUAAAGCGCGCGCAGGCGGUCCUUUAAGUCUGAUGUGAAAAGCCCACGGCUCAACCGUGGAGGGUCAUUGGAAACUGGGGGGACUUGAGUGCAGAAGAGGAGAGUGGAAUUCCACGUGUAGCGGUGAAAUGCGUAGAGAUGUGGAGGAACACCAGUGGCGAAGGCGACUCUCUGGUCUGUAACUGACGCUGAGGCGCGAAAGCGUGGGGAGCAAACAGG